GUCCUUUUGAGUAUAAUUUAAGGUCUAACCUGCCCACUGAGUUAUUAAAGGGCCGCAGUAUUUUAACUGUGCAAAGGUAGCAUAAUAAUUAGUUUCUUAAUUAGAAGCUGGUAUGAAUGGUUGAACGAGAAAUUGACUGUCUCAAUUUAUUUAUUAGAAUUUUAUUUUUAAGUUAAAAAGCUUAAAUUUAUUUAAAAGACGAGAAGACCCUAUAGAGUUUUAUAUUAAUAUUAAUUUUUUUAUUUAGAAUUUAUUUUAUUUUUUAUUAAUAUUUUGUUGGGGUGAUAUAUAAAUUUAAUAAACUUUAUAUUUUUAUUAACAUUAAUUUAUGAUUUUUUGAUCCAUUUUUUAUGAUUAAAAGAAAAAAUUACCUUAGGGAUAACAGCGUUAUUUUUUUUUAGAGUUCAAAUCGAAAAAAAAGAUUGCGACCUCGAUGUUGGAUUAAAGUUAAUUUUUGGUGUAGAAGCUAGAAAAUUAGGUCUGUUCGACCUUUAAAACUUUACAUGAUCUGAGUUUAAACCGGCGUGAGCCAGGUUGGUUUCUAUCUUUAAAAAAAAUAAAUAUUUUAGUACGAAAGGACCAAAUAUUUUUAAAAUUUAAUUAACUAUGAAUU
rnacentral:rRNA from 1 species